rnacentral:rRNA from 1 species
GAGAAAGUGGUGGCGGCGGGGGCGGGGAUAGGGAGGCGGGGAGCGUGGCUCGGGAAUACAGGGCGGAAAGGGAACGUAGGGGGGUUGUUAAGUCGGGGGUGAAAUCCUGGAGCUCAACUCCAGAACGGCCUUCGAUACUGGGGGGCUCGAGUCCGGGAGAGGUGGGUGGAACUGCGAGUGUAGAGGUGAAAUUCGUAGAUAUUCGCAAGAACACCAGUGGCGAAGGCGGCUCACUGGCCCGGUACUGACGCUGAGGUGCGAAAGCGUGGGGAGCAAACAGGAUUAGAUACCCUUGUAGUC